UGUUUUCUCCCAGUCUGUGACCUGUCUCCACUUUUCAGACACUCAGGAGGGCCGACGAGGACAGACACCCCGUGUCUCCCAGGCUGUGCUCCGUGUGUGCCCACGCUCUCUGGGCAGCAGGCUGACCGGGUCGGCCGCGUCUAGGCAAUGGGAGGGAGUUUGGGAGGAGUGUCUUUUGGGUGGGGCGUUUCCCCUUCCAUUGCACCAGCUUCAUGCAUCCCUCUGUUCAUCCAGCCAAUAUGUAAGGUGUGCGUGUUACGUCCCCUGUAUGAUUCUGGACGUUGAGAAGGCAAAGGAACUGCUGUGAGGCCCUGCGUCGCCCUGGGUGGCACAGCUCCGGAGACGGGCAACUGCUUAUGCAAACGAAAGGCCCUAAGCAAGAACUGGCUGAGGGCUGUUGGCCACUUAGUAGCAAGAAGAGACCACAGAGGAAAGUGGAAAGAGUAGCAGACAGAUCAAGCUCGGGUUCCAGCAUGCUUGCUGUGCCAAAUUUGAGAUUUCUCUACCUCUCUGGGCUCAGAUGACACAUCAAAAAAAAAAAUGCGGAUUAUACUUGAUGUAACUCACAGAUCAGAGUAAUAGUUACUCAAGAAUUGCAGCUCUUCUUAAAUAAAUGGAGAGACAUCCCAUGUUGAUGGAUUAGAAGCCUCAGUGUUCUGAAGAAUGAAGCAAUUCUCCCCAAAUUGAUCUACAGAUGUAUCUCAUCCCCCAUCAAUAUUAUCUUAGGGCCUCUGAUUUAGACCUGGGCUGACCCUGCCUGACAGACAGGGGUUCUGAGUUCUGAAGUUAAGUCAGACAGAGAAAAACAAGUACCAUACAGUAUCACUUAUACGUGGAAUCUAAUAAAAAAUGACACAAAUGAACUUAUUUACAAAACAGAAAGAGACUCAGAUGUAGAAAACAAACUUAUG